GUGUGACGUCAUAGGGCUGCUGCAGGAGUCGUCUGACGAGAGGACAAAAACGUAAAGGAACACUCCUUAGGAAACCACUUUUAUUGAGAUGGCGUUCAUUAAAGAAGAGAUUAAAGAAGAGUUUGAAGACGUGGGGAUCAAAGAAACCUUCAGUGUGAAAAAAGAAGAUCCCGAUGAACAAACAGUUCCAGGUGUAAACAGUACCUUUCUCUGGAAUUGGCAAGACCAAGAAAUGCUCAUCCAAUCAAAAUCUUACAUCUGCCUGUCGUCAUGUGUGUCUGUAUACCUCUGUGCCGCUCAGACAGGAUUCAUCAUCAGCGUGUUCAUGUGCGUUCUGCAGACAGAGCGAGACCGACAGACAACCAUCAACAGCCUGGCAUUCCUCCUCAACAACCCAAACCAAAAGUACCAUUCAGAAGAAAGACUCUGUUCGAAAAGAUCUCCGACAAAAAACGGCUGGAUCAUAUAAGAUCGAAAACCCGGAUUAAUAUCGGCGCUUCUUUUCAUCGCUGGAGACAACUACAGCACUCAAUGGGGCUGAAAAAUGAUGCCAUGGUUGCAGAAUUUCUCUUGGACAGUUACGAGCGAACUACAGCAUCCACAGCUUUACUGUAUGGAACGUAAAGCCGCCACCGCCAGAUGAGUCAAUGGUUGAUUCUAAGCCUUGCGGCUAAUUAUUAGAUCUUGUUGGGCUGAUAAAGGACAGUGAAGUACUGAAGGAAAUGGACAACAAAGUUCAAUAUGGGAGAAUCAUGACGAUUUAGAGGUGCCCACAGACUAAAAGCUUUUAUGUUCCUUUUCAAAUUUGCUUGGACGGGACAUUACUUUCCCUGACAACGUUGUGAAAGAAUUUUCACCCACACAACAAAACCAACCCUUUCAGACGGAGAGAUCUUUCACGUGUUAAGAGUUUGGAGUGUGAAGUAAGCUCAAUCGAAGGCAGCAGAGAAACCUUAUACAGGUCAACAGUGUGGAAGGAGGUUAGCUCAACUUAGACAGUCCACAAGAGAAAAAACACUGGAGACAGUUUCAGCCGGAAAGGAAACUUUCAUCAACAGCAUUCCACCUGCUGUGGGCUAAGUUUCUCUCAGGAAGUAAGAGUUGACGGACAUAUUAGUAACGACAUUGAAGAGAAGACACGUCUGCCUUGAGCGUGGAUAGAGUUGAACAGGAUUGCUCUGAAUUCCAUGUGAAGUGACACUGAAGGAAAAGCCUACCUAAGUUCUCAGUGUGUGAAGAGUUUCAGGAAAAGAGGGAAUCCUUAAAGUCCAUGUUAGGAGAGAAACCCUACAUCUGCCUUCAAGUGUGGAAAGAGCUUCAAUCAGAAACCAUACAUCCAAGACCACAUGAGAAUUGAGGAACACCAGAGAGAAGCCUUUCACCAAUGUGGAAGAAGUUUCAAGCAAAGCUUGACAGACACUUGAGGACUCACUUUGGAGAGGAGCCGGUAAUAUGCAGUCCCUGUGGAAGGAUUUAAAGUGACCACAUGAGUAAGUACCUCACACACGAGGGAACAGUUUCUGUAUGUCUGUAUUUGUAAUGUGUACAGAUAGAAAAGCCAUUGGGGAUCGUGUUAACACCGACAAUUCAUUACGUCAGUUUUUUAUUGUUGCUCCAACAGAUGCAAGACCAAAAUAAAGACUAAGGACGUAUGUUAAUAAUAAGGAGAUUGUUGUGCUUGGUAUAGAUAUGGUCCGUUUCCACUGAGUGGUACGGUACGGUUCGGUUUGGUACGCUUUUAUGGCCGUUUCCACUGUCAAAAGACGUACCGAACCAAACCGUACCGUACUACUUUUUCGGGACCCUU